AGUCCAGAAGUUCCUAGAUGGGUUGUACAAAGUACAGGCUCUACCCAGGAGGUCUACUGUCUUGUACAAAGACAGCAAGGUUUUUCAGGGUCCAGACCCCAUCGCCAGACUCAAGGGCAGUACUCGUGAUUAAGAGGAAGGGCUAGUACUGGCUUGGAACUUUGAUGUUGUCCUUUUCACUAUCCAAAUACCACAGAGACUCUGUGUCCUGGUCCCAGAAGGGCAGAGGCGGAGCAGGCCUUUUGGAAUGCAGUCUGCCACCCCCCUUUCCCCUGGGGCCUUGUAUUGAGCUGAUCUUGCAAACUCUCUGAGAGUUCACCGGGUGUCUGUUUCAAAUGGGAGAUUAAAGGAGGCCAAGAAGCUUCUUAGAAAAGACAAUCACUCCUGAAGUUCAAACUAAUACCCCCUGAAAGAGGAAGGAACCUGGGCCAACGUGAUCCUUUGGUGGGAAAAGGAGUUUGUGGCCAAGCCUGAAGACCCAAGUUCAAUCCUCAGGACCCACAUGAUGGAAGGAGAGAACCAGCUCCUGCAAGUUGUCCUGUGGCCUCCACAGGCCUUCCCGGAACGUCUUCAAAAAGAAUUAUUGGGCGAUGUUUUGGAAAGACUGAUAACCGACGCCAUGCUGGUGGGUCAGCACCUUGGCUGACUGUGUGGCUCAGGCUCUUCGAAGGAGUCUCAAGGAUCCUAACAGAGAAAGGCUAAGCAGGCCGGAGAGCUUAGGGUUACUAGCUCUUGGCUUCUGAGUGUCUGUUCAAAGCAAAUAACAAAAAGAAAAGAAAAUGUUCUGGAUAUGUUUAAAAUUUUUUUGAAAAAAUCAAUGACUCAUUUGUUACAGAGUAACAAAGUACAAAAUAAAAGACACUUCAUAAAAAUUGCAUUCAAA